rnacentral:misc_RNA from 1 species
GAACGCACCUUGCGCUCCCUGGUAUUCCGGGGAGCACGCCUGUUCGAGUGUCGUGAAACUCUCAAACCGGAUGGCUUUAUUGCUUCAUCUUGGUUUGGAUUUGGGCUUUUGCUGUGUCAUAACGGCUAGCCUUAAAAGCAUUAGCUGAAUCUUGGUUAUGAGAUUGGUUCUACUUGGCGUGAUAAUUUAUCUGACCGCUGAGGACAUCUUUCGGGAUGGCCAGACUUCUUCCUCGAGUCGCUUCUAAUCUGGCAUUUACGGGAAACCGUACUUCCACUUUUCAACUUUGACCUCAAAUCGAGUAGGACUACCCGCUGAACUUAAG